GGAAGACCGGGAGGGAGAGCGCUCGCCCGGGGGACUGGCCUUUGCUCUGUAAACUGGUAAAGGCUGAGCUAGGCGGGCGAGGCCAAGAUGGGAUGAAUCCCCAGCAUUAAAGUUGGGGUGUUGAGAGAUGCUGAUUACAAGCAGCACAAAUACACUUCACAAUGUGAUCUUUGAUAAAUGUCCAAAUGGAUUUUAAAACAAGAAGAUUGAGAAGCAGAGGCCAGUGUAUCUCCAAAACCCUGUAACUGAAUAUCCCAUGCAUGGUUUUUGUACUAACCUUACCUCUGAUUUUAUUUUCCCUACACCUUUUUUCUUUUUGAUUUUUAUGUCUUUAUUUUACCCAUGAUUUUCUAAAUAUUUUUGUAUGUCACUUAAAAUAGUAUGUGUAAUAGAUGUUGUGUUUAUUAAAAUAUAUGAAGUAAUAAAUAAUUUCCCUAACUAUUCUCUUAUUUUUGAAA